GCCCCUUAUUCCUAAACUGUUAGGACCAAAACUCCCAAAAUCAAACCCAACCUUCCUUUUAUGGUCAUAAACCUUGUGUUUAAAUUUCAUAGAUUUCUAUUUACUUAUACUAAAGUUAUGGUGCAAAAACCAAAAUAAUGCUUAUUUGGGCCCCUUUUUGGCCCCUAAUUCAUAAACUGUUGUGACCUCAACUCCAAAAAUCAAUCCCAACCUUCCUUUUGUGGUCAUAAACCUUGUGUUAAAAUUUCAUUGAUUUCUAUUUACUUAUACUAAAGUUAUUGUGCGAAAACCAAGAAUAAUGCUUAUUUGGGCCCUUUUUUGGCCCUUAAUUCCUAAACUCAUGGAACCA
rnacentral:lncRNA from 1 species